rnacentral:tRNA from 1 species
AAAAAGAUAAGCUAACUAAGCUAGUGGGCUCAUACCCCAUUUAUGAAGGUCAAGUCCUUCUCUUUUUA